UACGUAGGGUGCAGGCGUUAAUCGGAAUUACUGGGCGUAAAGCGUGCGCAGGCGGCUUCGCAAGUCAGACGUGAAAUCCCCGGGCUUAACCUGGGAAUGGCGUUUGAAACUACGGAGCUGGAGUAUGGCAGAGGGGGUGGAAUUCCACGUGUAGCGGUGAAAUGCGCAGAUAUCAGGAGGAACACCGGUGGCGAAGGCGGGUCUCUGGGCCGGUACUGACGCUGAGGCGCGAAAGCGUGGGGAGCAAACAGG
rnacentral:rRNA from 1 species